rnacentral:rRNA from 1 species
UACGGAGGGGGCUAGCGUUGUUCGGAAUUACUGGGCGUAAAGCGCACGUAGGCGGCUUUGCAAGUUAGAGGUCAAAUCCCAGGGCUCAACCCUGGAACUGCCUUUGAUACUGGGUACCUAGAGUUCGGGAGAGGUGUGUGGAACUCCGAGUGUAGAGGUGAAAUUCGUAGAUAUUCGGAAGAACACCAGUGGCGAAGGCGACACACUGGCCCGAUACUGACGCUGAGGCGCGAAAGCGUGGGGAGCAAACAGG